rnacentral:lncRNA from 1 species
GCCAAAAUACUUAAAAUGGUCCACAGGACACACCCCUUCCCUAUAGACCUUUCUGACGUCACUUCCUACUUAACUUGGCUCUAGCCACAUUCGCUCCCCUGCUGUUCCGCAAAGGCUCUGAAACAUUCCCUUACCUGGAAUACUUUACCACCAGACAUACACAUGGCAGACCCCUUAUGCUUUCUCGUUACAGAAUAGAGAAAGGUCAGGUACAUCUUCUACUUCACCAAUAAGCAUAAAAUAGAAAAAUGUUUAGGAAACAAAAAGGAAGUAAAUAUCGGUUUCCUACCAUUCCAUGUGAAAACAAGCUGUGAAGAACCAGAUGACCACUGUGAGUUUUCAGUGACCUUAGGAACUUACAGUCUAGUAGGAAACAGACGUUAUUCAAAUAAUCAAAGAAAGCUGUAACUGCAUAUUUACAUAAUGCUCCUAAAAGGAAUAUGAUAUAAAACGAAGAUGAAUUUAUCUAGGGCCGCGCCUGGCUGAUAAUCCCUUUUCUGUAUCAUUUAAAGUCGUUCUGCUUCCCAGAUCAAACUGUGAUACAAUUCCCAUUAAGAAAAAAUAGGUAAAAACAAUGAUUACAGAAAAUGUAUAACAUUAAAUUUAUGUAAAAUUAUGUGUGAAUAUAAGUAUAUAAAGCAAUUAAGGAAGGUUUUCCAGAGGAAGUAGUGGCUGCUCUUCCCAGAAGAAGGAUGCUCCUUCGUCAGAGAUCGGUAUUUGCAUGGACAUUGAAGAAACUUAAGGAAGGUCAUGUGUCUGAAUGGGUUGGGGGAGAAAAGAGAAGAAAAGACGACAGAAUACACGGAGAGGGAGGGUAAGGGCAAGGAAAAGGAACAGAGUGAAGACAAGAACAAAGAAUGGGGGAUGGGGGGAAGAAAAUUAAAUAAAAGGCAGAUUUGACGCCAGGAUGAGAAGUAGGUAGGGAUCAGACUACACAGCUUAGGACAUGUUUUAAAACUGGGUCUUUAUUCUAAGAACCAGAGGAGAAGUUCACCAUAUGGUUUUAGCACAAUCAUAUAUGUAUGUUUGCAAAGGUCACUCCAAGGACUUCCAAUUAAAAUGAAGAUUAAACACCCAUUUAUCUCUGCUCCCUUUCAACAGCCCAUCAAAUUGACAGUAAAUACCUAAAAAAGGGUAUAAACACAAGGACAAAGGGAUCAGAAAAAGCAACAAUAGUGAACAAGAGAUAAUCAUGAACAUCUGGAAUGCAGAGGCAGAUAGAAAAAUUAUUAGGGAAGACACUAAAUGAGUCUUUCGACUUUGAAGAAAAGCAAGUGGACUUGAAUUCCAUGGGUGUAAGCUCCAGAAGAUGGGAAUUUUGUUCACCUCAUUCAAAGUAUCCUGCAUUUGGCAUAUAGUAGUCAUCAUUUUUGUGGAUAAA